CUGGAGUGACGGGUACACUGUGGGGACCGCCGCUGCUAAGCGGAGAAGGAAUGGGCAACGGUAGGUCAGUAUGCCCCGAAUAUCCCGGGCUACACGCGAGCUACAAUGGUUGGGUACAAUGGGGUAUCUACCCGAAAGGGACGGGAAUCUCCUAAAACCAAUCUUAGUUCGGAUUGAGGGCUGCAACUCGCCCUCAUGAAGCUGGAAUCCGUAGUAAUCGCGUUUCAACAGAACGCGGUGAAUACGUCCCUGCUCCUU
rnacentral:rRNA from 1 species